UGUGAGCAUUUGGCAGAUACUCAUUGGACC
rnacentral:piRNA from 1 species